rnacentral:rRNA from 1 species
UAUGUAGGGCGCGAGCGUUGUCCGGAAUUAUUGGGCGUAAAGAGCUCGUAGGCGGCCUGUCACGUCCGCUGUGAAAUCCCGGGGCUCAACCCCGGGCCUGCAGUGGAUACGGGCUGGCUGGAGGCAGGCAGGGGAGAACGGAAUUCCUGGUGUAGCGGUGAAAUGCGCAGAUAUCAGGAGGAACACCGGUGGCGAAGGCGGUUCUCUGGGCCUGUUCUGACGCUGAGGAGCGAAAGCGUGGGGAGCGAACAGG